rnacentral:tRNA from 1 species
GCCGAAGUGAUGGAAUUGGCAGACGUGGCGGACUCAAAAUCCGCUGGUAGCAAUACCGUGGGGGUUCGAGCCCCCCCUUCGGCACCA